rnacentral:rRNA from 1 species
AUUGAACGCUGGCGGCAUGCCUUACACAUGCAAGUCGAACGGCAGCACGGGAGCAAUCCUGGUGGCGAGUGGCGAACGGGUGAGUAAAGUAUCGGAACGUGCCCAGUCGUGGGGGAUAACGUAGCGAAAGUUACGCUAAUACCGCAUACGAUCUAUGGAUGAAAGCGGGGGAUCGCAAGACCUCGCGCGAUUGGAGCGGCCGAUAUCAGAUUAGGUGGUUGGUGGGGUAAAGGCUCACCAAGCCGACGAUCUGUAGCUGGUCUGAGAGGACGACCAGCCACACUGGGGCUGAGACACGGCCCAGACUCCUACGGGAGGCAGCAGUGGGGAAUUUUGGACAAUGGGCGCAAGCCUGAUCCAGCCAUGCCGCGUGCAGGAUGAAGGCCUUCGGGUUGUAAACUGCUUUUGUACGGAACGAAAAGGUUUGACUUAAUACGUUGGACUCAUGACGGUACCGUAAGAAUAAGCACCGGCUAACUACGUGCCAGCCGCCGCGGUAA